GGCGGCAGGGGUGGGGGGCGGGCUGAGAGGCUGGGGGCCUGGGGUGUCAUGGAAGGGCCAGCUGGUGUGGGGGUCCCUUGAAGCAGCCUCUCAAAGGGGCCCUCUCCGCCCAUGGGCCCGGACAUCCAGAUUCCUACCUGUGGUUCAGGCCCAGCGGAUUCUUACCCCCUGGAACCAGACUCUGCGUAUAGAGGAUGCCCCCUGGCUGGGCCAGGUCACACCGGAUUGGGGAUGUCAGGGCUGCAUUUAGUUUCCUGGAGUCUGCAGGGAUCGGGUCACAGCCUGGGGACACAGCCACCUCCCAAGUGCGUGGCUGGACAGGGGGUCCUGACACAGUGGCCCAACUCAAGACCACACAUGUAUGCCUAAGGGGCUGGCAGAGGUGGGACAAGGGUCUCCCUGAGGACCCCGGGAGUAAGGGGGGCAAGCUGCUCCCUGUGGGCACCGCCACCCCCAUUCCCGUCCUGCUCGCCUCCAGUUACGCCUCUGCUCGGGCACUGAAAGGUCACUUCCUAGAAAAAGACCAGGAAGAAGACUGGUCCCCAAGGCAACACACACAGUCUGUCUAGACCUCAGCAGGCAGCUCGGGGCUGGCGGCCCGGCGGGGCGGGCAUCGGACGGCAGCGCCAACUCCCGGGGCCGCAGGGCUAAGGGGACCUGUCACUCCCUCCGGGCCUGAUGAGCUCUGGCCUCCGCUCAGCCUCACCGUCCCCGAGUGGGGGACUGAGGACCCACACCAUGGGGGAGCAGAUGGGGGUGGGGCUUCCCGUUUUUGUCAAACAUUCCAUCCAAGGAAGACCACGGCAAGUGGACAGACAGACGUGUGGACACCGUCUUCAAAGACACACAAACAUGCAAGCUCUGGAACGAAGCUCCUCCUCUCCCCUGACCCCCCACCCCCCGAAACAGCCCCCUGCCUGACCAAGCAGAGACGGGGGUGGGGGGUGGGGGUCCGCGGCUCGGCCGUGCUCCUCCUCCUGCCGGCCUGGCUUGGACUCAAAGCCCCGCCUCUGUCCCCAGGCGGAGUGUGACCUUGGGCGCCUUCUGACUCCGCCUGGGUCUGGCAGUCACUGGGGUGACACAGGUGGGAAGGUGCCCGCAGGCAAAACAGGUGAAGGACGCGCAGCCUGAGGAGAGCCGCCUAGCGGCCACCUUGGCCACUCCUUAAGCCACACUGAGCAGGAAGGUAACUCAGGCAGCUGGAACGCAGUGGGAGAGAAACCCCUGCAGACGGCCGAGAAAGGAGAGGCCCAUCCUUGGGACAGAGGCCCCCGGAGGCCUGUCAGGGGGCCCAUGUGGGCGGCAGACACCGCAAAGCCACUCCUGUCCAGAAUGUGCAGCUUUCCUGGGGGGCAGAGGGGACCCCUUGCUUCACUCUGGCUGCCCCAUUUGACUCUGGCUGCCCCAUCUGACUCAGGCCCCGACACCUGCUUCCUGCCUGUUCUUGCCUCUGGUUUCUUUAGGAGCUUCUACCCUUUACAGGAGCAGGAGGCCUGGCAGAAACUGGUAGGAGGGCUCCCAGAGUAUUUCAUUGAAUUGGACAGAAAGGCCCUGGCUAGCUGCAUACCUGGGACAACGUGAGCUUGGGGUGAAUUCUAGAACGGACACGAGGGGUUCUUUAGAACCUGCUGGCCAUCCUAGAGGACCGGGCAGCUGCGAGAACACAGCGACAGGAGGCGGAGAGAGGAAGAGAGACGAUGAGACGACAACGGACACAGCACGCCCAACGCACAGUCAGGGGGCCGCAGCAAACCGCGACGACCACACCGCUCAGACCACUGCCCCGCUGGACGAGGGGCCGGGCCGCCGCCCCCCAGAUGACCGCUCAAGGGCAGCAGCUCUGAACCAGGGGUGGCUGGGACCCCCGCCAUCCAUCAGGGACUCUUCCAGAACCACCAGCGGGAGGGAGGUGGUGCUCACUGUGGUUCUCCAGGGAGGGGUCUCCUUAAUGUCUUAAGAGCCUCAGGGUGGACAGAGCAACUGGGCCUUCACCAUUAAUCACAUCCAAAGAAAGCCAGAUUGCCAGACGGCCGCUCCCCAUGGUAUAUACAUCUGUUUCCCCCACCCCAGGCACGUGCACUGGACUAGUCUCUUCUAGGCAGCAAAGCACUAAACCCAUGGGUUCUCCUUCCAUGUGGUCAAGGGAACCUUCACUCCCGAGGGCAGAUGUGGGGAUGAAUAAAAGCACAAGUCAGGACCCAA